UACGUAGGGUGCGAGCGUUAAUCGGAAUUAUUGGGCGUAAAGCGCGUGUAGGCGGUUUUUUAAGUCUGAUGUGAAAGCCCCGGGCUCAACCUGGGAAGUGCAUUGGAAACUGGGCAACUUGAGUACGGGAGAGGAUAGUGGAAUUCCGAGUGUAGGGGUGAAAUCCGUAGAUAUUCGGAGGAACACCGGUGGCGAAGGCGGCUAUCUGGACCGAUACUGACGCUGAGACGCGAAAGCGUGGGGAGCAAACAGGAUUAGAUA
rnacentral:rRNA from 1 species